UACGGAGGGUGCAAGCGUUAUCCGGAUUCACUGGGUUUAAAGGGUGCGUAGGUGGGCAGGUAAGUCAGUGGUGAAAUCUCCGGGCUUAACCCGGAAACUGCCGUUGAUACUAUCUGUCUUGAAUGUAGUGGAGGUGAGCGGAAUAUGUCAUGUAGCGGUGAAAUGCUUAGAUAUGACAUAGAACAUCGAUUGCGAAGGCAGCUCGCUACACUAUGACUGACACUGAGGCACGAAAGCGUGGGGAUCAAACAGG
rnacentral:rRNA from 1 species